rnacentral:rRNA from 1 species
UGAGGAAUAUUAGGCAAUGCCCGCAAGGGUGACCCAGCAACGCCGCGUGGAGGAUGAAUGUCGUAAGAUUGUAAACUCCUGUUAGAGGGGAAGAAUAGUACCGGUUGGACCGGUAUAUGACUGUACCCUCAGAGAAAGCCCCGGCUAACUACGUGCCAGCAGCCGCGGUAAUACGUAGGGGGCAAGCGUUGUCCGGAUUUACUGGGUGUAAAGGGCGCGCAGGCGGGAUAAAAAGUCAGUGGUGAAAUCCUACAGCUUAACUGUAGAACUGCCUUUGAUACUUUUAUUCUUGAGUUCGGGAGAGGGAGACGGAAUUCCAGGUGUAGUGGUGAAAUACGUAGAUAUCUGGAAGAACACCAGUUGCGAAGGCGGUCUCUUGGUCCGACACUGACGCUGAUGCGCGAAAGCCAGGGGAGCAAACG